rnacentral:rRNA from 1 species
UACCAGCCCCCUGAGUGGUAAGGACGAUUAUUUGGCUUAAAGCGUCCGUAGCCGGCUUAGUGAGUCUCUUGUUAAAUCCAAUGAUUCGAUCAUUGAACUGCAAGAGAUACUACUAUGCUAGAGGACGGGAGAGGUCGACGGUAGUCCAAGGGUAGGGGUGAAAUCCUAUAAUCCUUGGAGGACCACCAGUGGCGAAGGCGGUCGACUAGAACGUGCCUGACGGUGAGGGACGAAAGCUGGGGGAGCGAACCGGAUUAGAUACCCGGGUAGUCCCAGCUGUAAACGAUGCGGGCUAGGUGUAGGGGCAGCUACGAGCUGCUCCUGUGCCGCAGAGAAAUUGUUAAGCCCGCCGCCUGGGGAUACGAUCGCAAGAUUGAAACUUAAAGGAAUUGGCGGGGAGCACCACAAGGGUGAAGGCUGCGGUUU